rnacentral:rRNA from 1 species
CCUACGGGUGGCUGCAGUGGGGAAUUUUGGACAAUGGGCGCAAGCCUGAUCCAGCCAUGCCGCGUGCAGGAUGAAGGCCCUCGGGUUGUAAACUGCUUUUGUACGGAACGAAAAGCCUCUCUCGAAUAAAGAGGGGUGAUGACGGUACCGUAAGAAUAAGCACCGGCUAACUACGUGCCAGCAGCCGCUGUAAUACGUAGGGUGUGACCGUUAAUCAGAAUUACUCAGCCGAUAUUGCAAGCAAGUGGUGAAACCCCCGGGCUCAACCUGGGAACGGCCAUUGUGACUGCAAGGCUGGAGUACGGCAGAGGGGGAUGGAAUUCCGCGUGUAGCAGUGAAAUGCGUAGAUAUGCGGAGGAACACCGAUGGCGAAGGCAGUCCCCUGGGCCUGUACUGACGCUCAUGCACGAAAGCGUGGGGAGCAAACAGGAUUAGAUACCCCAGUAGUC